UGCGGGGUGGCGGAGGAGCCUCGGUCGGUUCUGAAAUCGGGACCCCGCUGUGCCAAGCUGUGCUGCGCGCGCGGCCCUGGGGCUGACCUGCCGCAGUGCUCUGCGCUAUGGCACACAGCGCCGAUCUGCCUAAAGGCCCCGGAACCAGAACGAAAGGAAUCUGCCAUGCUCAUGGAUCUGUAUAAACUUGCUCUGUCAAUUCACGUGGUUAGAACUUUGCAGAAGCCACCUUACUCUCCAGGCUUUCACACCAAAUCAGGUAUUGUUUGUUCAUGCACAGGUGCCUCUGGAGCAGUCAGCCUGCAGGGACAAGGGAGGCACUCAAAGGCUUUGCCCAUGGCAGAGCUGUGGGAUAGGGCACCCAGAUGCAGAAUGACACCCAUCAGCACUCAUCAGCAAGCCACAUUGCCCAAGGGCAGCUUUGCCUCUCAGAGCUGUAGGUGUGAGCCUGAACUGCAGCAUCCUGUGUUCCUGUGACCCCAGAAUGCAGCACUAGCUGCUCCAACCAGUGAAGAACAAAAACACACUGCCUUGUUGGGGACAGCACUUCCUCACAACAGCCAGAAGCAUGGGCUAAGGACAAAAGUGGUCAGGGCAGGAUCAGCCCAGCAGUGCCAGGACUCUGGGCAAGAAUACAUCUUCCAAGGGCUGGCACCAGAGCUCCAAAGCCACACCUGCAAGUGACACAGAAGCUCCUGGCAUGAACUGAGGAAGACUGAUGUUCUCUAGCAAUGUCAAAUGUAUCAUGGAUAUAGACACCAUGUUAAGGGUGCCAGGGAAAAUCCUGCUGAGCACGGUGUCGGAGUUUCCAUGUGAGAAAGUCACCACAGCUGUUGAUCUUAGGGAUAUAAACAAGAUCAGUAAUUGCAAUAAAGUUAGCUCUUUUCUUUUUCUAAAUUUCUAUUAGGUCAAGGUCAGUCAUAGAAGAAUCCAAGGAGUGGCUUGAUACUGAAAUGGAAUGUGAUGAGGAAGACUGAGGGAAACAAGUCCUAUUUAUUGCAAAGCCAAAAAAGCAAAUCUUGAAAUCCCAGAAGGCAAUGUGUCUUAAAGAUGAUUUGGGAGAGUUUUUUUAGCUGCUGUUAGUUAACAAUCUUGCAGAAAAUCCUAAAACACAGAUAAUAAGAAAAAAAAAGAAAAAAGAAAAAAUUGUAAGGUGAAAACAAAUAACUAUAUGCUGUAAGAGCUCACUAAUAAAAUGUGAUUUUAAUAACUUUUUUUUUUUUUUUUUACAAGGAAUCCAGCUAUACACUAUAGAAAAAUAAACACCGAACAGACUCUUUGCAAUUGACAGUACAG